rnacentral:lncRNA from 1 species
AGCAUCACAUUACAUUAUCAUAUUAUUAAGCAUUUUUUUAUUUCUCUGUUCCAGGCACUGCGCUAAGCAUUGGGAAUACAGAGACACAAGCCCGUCCAUGAUCUCCAGACUUGAGCUCACAUUCAAAUUUGGGGUUUUGCUUUUUGGGUAGAAGUACAGGACUUCCCCCAUCCAUGCAGAUUCAAAGGCAUAUAUUUGGAGAACCCUGUAUACCAGGAAAUAGGCUUGGACACAGUCCAUCCUAGGCAGAAGUGAUGCCUAUAUUGAAUGGCCUUAUUUCCUCUGGUCCUAUGGGAUCUUCUCAUCCAACAUCCUUCUGCCAGACUUUGGGAUCCACAGAGGUGAGUACACCACCCACAUCUACACAUCACUCUCCUUUCUAGUCCAAGGAAGAGUUCUUGAGGAUUCCUGCUCUUGGGGCUUGCCAAGGCCAGCCUUGCUCCUAGGCUCCAAACCUGAGUGCAAUUUAAAAGUUAAUUUCAAU